rnacentral:rRNA from 1 species
UGAGGAAUAUUGGUCAAUGGGCGAGAGCCUGAACCAGCCAAGUAGCGUGCAGGAUGACGGCCCUAUGGGUUGUAAACUGCUUUUAUAUGGGAAUAAAGUGAGGGACGUGUCCCUUAUUGCAUGUACCAUACGAAUAAGGACCGGCUAAUUCCGUGCCAGCAGCCGCGGUAAUACGGAAGGUCCAGGCGUUAUCCGGAUUUAUUGGGUUUAAAGGGAGCGUAGGCUGUUUGUUAAGCGUGUUGUGAAAUGUAAGAGCUCAACUUUUAGAUUGCAGCGCGAACUGGCAGACUUGAGUGCGCACAACGUAGGCGGAAUUCAUGGUGUAGCGGUGAAAUGCUUAGGUAUCAUGACGAACUCCGAUUGCGAAGGCAGCUUACGGGAGCGCAACUGACGCUAAAGCUCGAAGGUGCGGGUAUCGAACAGG